AGCUACAUUGCCAGCUC
rnacentral:miRNA from 1 species